rnacentral:rRNA from 1 species
AUUGAACGCUGGCGGCAGGCCUAACACAUGCAAGUCGAGCGAGUGGCGGACGGGUGAGUAAUGUCUGGGAAACUGCCUGAUGGAGGGGGAUAACUACUGGAAACGGUAGCUAAUACCGCAUACCAUCAGAUGUGCCUAGAUGGGAUUAGCUAGUGGGUGGGGUAACGGCUCACCAAGGCGACGACCCCUAGCUGGUCUGAGAGGAUGACCAGCCACACGGGAACUGGGACACGGUCCAGACUCCUACGGGAGGAGGCAGUGGGGAAUAUUGCACAAUGGGCGCAAGCCUGAUGCAGCCAUGCCGCGUGUAUGAAGAAGGCCUUCGGGUUGUAAAGUACGUUCAGCGAGGAGGCGUUACUCGCAGAGGAAGCACCGGCUAACUCCGUGCCAGCAGCCGCGGUAAUAC